AAGCACAUGCCUUAAAACGGUGAAGCCGCGAAUAGCUCAUUACAACAGCCAUCGUUUAUUAGAAUAUCGUUAUCCUACUUGGAUAACUGUGGCAAUUCUAGAGCUCAUACAUGCAAUAAAGCUCUGCCCGCAAGGAACGAGCGCAUUUAUUAGAAUAAAAACCAAUCGGGUUUCGGCCCGUAAUUUGGUGAAUCUGAAUAACUUUGCCAAUCGCACAGUCCUAGUACUGGCGAUGUAUCUUUCAAGUGUCUGCCUUAUCAACUUUCGAUGGUACGCUAUACGCCUACCAUGGUAGUAACGGGUAACGGAGAAUAAGGGUUCGACUCCGGAGAGGGAGCCUGAGAAACGGCUACCACAUCCAAGGAAGGCAGCAGGCGCGCAAAUUACCCACUUCCAGAACGGAGAGGUAGUGACGAAAAAUAACGAGACAGUCCUCUUCGAGGUCUGUCAUCGGAAUGGGUACAAUUUAAA
rnacentral:rRNA from 1 species